AGGCAGUUGUAUCCUGUGCUGUCAGCAUUGGAUCGGGUCCAACGUCAUGACCACAGUUUGUCGAGGGCUGGUCAACCCUUCUCGAACAUGUGGGUGACAAGGGUGCAGGCUUGGGUCGAUGGCUGGGACCAGGCAGAGGAGAACGUGGCGCUUCCGACCUCUGCACACACAGAGGCUUCGUACAGGGCGUACCUGAGCUGGUACCAGCCUAAGACUCGUUGCCGCUUGAUAUAUGCUGACAUGCAUCCAGAGCCGCAUGUUGCGACCCCACAGGAUGGCUAUGCACGACAUAGGGAUGAGGCAUUAGCUGGGGCGUUUGAAAUGUGCAGGUUGAUAGACGUAGAUGCCAGGGUAAAUUUGAUGAGGAUUCGAGCGGGAUCUAUGAUG